UACGUAGGGUGCAAGCGUUAAUCGGAAUUACUGGGCGUAAAGGGUGCGUAGGCGGUUUGUCGCGUCUGUCGUGAAAGCCCACGGCUUAACCGUGGGUCUGCGGUGGAUACGGGCAGACUAGAGGCAGGUAGGGGAGAAUGGAAUUCCCGGUGUAGCGGUGAAAUGCGCAGAUAUCGGGAGGAACACCGGUGGCGAAGGCGGUUCUCUGGGCCUGUACUGACGCUGAGGAGCGAAAGCGUGGGGAGCGAACAGG
rnacentral:rRNA from 1 species